rnacentral:rRNA from 1 species
UACGUAGGGAGCAAGCGUUGUCCGGAAUCAUUGGGCGUAAAGCGCGCGUAGGUGGCCUCAUAAGUCCGCUGUGAAAGUCCAGGGCUCAACCCUGGAAUGCCGGUGGAAACUGUCGGGCUGGAGUCCGGAGGAGGCGAGUGGAAUUCCUGGUGUAGCGGUGAAAUGCGCAGAUAUCAGGAGGAACACCAAUGGCGAAGGCAGAUCUCUGGGCCGUAACUGACGCUGAGGAGCGAAAGCAUGGGGAGCGAACAGG